AACGAACGUUUCACCCUCCCUCUCUCUCUUCCUCUUCAAGAUUCCACCCUCACCCUUGAAAUCUUCCAUUCCAAACCCUCCGAUACCCCUAAACCCCUCGUCGCUACCCUCCGUCUUCCCCUCAAAGACCUUCCUGACCUUCAUCACUCCACAAUCGUCAAGAAAUUCUCCGUCGUUCGACCAUCGGGUCGACCGCAGGGGAAAAUUCAUCUCAAAAUUAGCCUCCUUGGCCGCUCUCCUCCUCCGCCAUCGCCACCGAUAUCACAAAUGUUUGAUUAUAACAACACAAUCCCUAAUCCUCACCCUAACCCUAACCCUAAUUCUUCAAAUCCUUCCUUUGUUUAUUACAGAGGAAACUCUUCUUCUGCACCUUCUCCACCACCUUCACCUUCACCUUACAAUUACUACACCAAUUACUCUGAUAAUAACUAUUCUGGUGGCAGUUACUUUCCUGGCUAUUAUCCUGGUGGUGCUUAUCCACCGCCG
rnacentral:lncRNA from 1 species